rnacentral:rRNA from 1 species
UACGUAGGGGGCAAGCGUUGUCCGGAUUUAUUGGGCGUAAAGAGCGUGUAGGCGGUCAGGUAGGUCCGUUGUGAAAACUCGAGGCUCAACCUCGAGACGCCGAUGGAAACCAUCUGACUAGAGUCCGGAAGAGGAGAGUGGAAUUCCGUGGUGUGAGCGGUGAAAUGCGCAGAUAUCAGGAAGAACACCCGUGGCUAAGGCGGCUCUCUAGUACGGUACUGACGCUGAGACGCGAAAGCGUGGGAGCGAACAGG